rnacentral:rRNA from 1 species
GAUGAACGCUAGCUACAGGCUUAACACAUGCAAGUCGAGGGGAAACGAUAGGGAAAGCUUGCUUUUUCUAGGCGUCGACCGGCGCACGGGUGAGUAACGCGUAUCCAACCUGCCCAUCACUUGGGGAUAACCUUGCGAAAGUAAGACUAAUACCCAAUGACGUCUCUAGAAGACAUCUGAAGGAGAUUAAAGAUUUCUCGGUGAUGGAUGGGGAUGCGUCUGAUUAGCUUGUUGGCGGGGUAACGGCCCACCAAGGCGACGAUCAGUAGGGGUUCUGAGAGGAAGGUCCCCCACAUUGGAACUGAGACACGGUCCAAACUCCUACGGGAGGCAGCAGUGGGGAAUAUUGGUCAAUGGACGAGAGUCUGAACCAGCCAAGUAGCGUGCAGGAAGACGGCCCUAUGGGUUGUAAACUGCUUUUAUAAGGGAAUAAAGUGAGUCUCGUGAGACUUUUUGCAUGUACCUUAUGAAUAAGGACCGGCUAAUUCCGUGCCAGCCGCCGCCGUAA